rnacentral:rRNA from 1 species
GACGAACCGUCCAAACGUUGUUCGGAAUCACUGGGCUUAAAGGGCGCGUAGGCGGACUGCCAAGUCCGGGGUGAAAUCUUUCGGCUUAACCGGAAAAGGGCCUUGGAAACUGGCGGAUCUCGAGGGAGGUAGGGGCCUGUGGACUUCGGUGGAGCGGUGAAAUGCGUUGAUAUCCGAAGGAAGCGCCGGUGGCGAAAGCGGCUCGCUGGACCUCUUCUGACGCUGAGGCGCGAAAGCCAGGGGAGCAAACGGG